CUGGCGGCGUGCCUAAUACAUGCAAGUCGAACGCACUCUCGUUUAGAUUGAAGGAGCUUGCUCCUGAUUGAUAACAUUUGAGUGAGUGGCGGACGGGUGAGUAACACGUGGGUAACCUGCCCUAAAGUGGGGAUAACAUUUGGAAACAGAUGCUAAUACCGCAUAAAACCUAACACCGCAUGGUGUAGGGUUGAAAGAUGGUUUCGGCUAUCACUUUAGGAUGGACCCGCGGUGCAUUAGUUAGUUGGUGAGGUAAAGGCUCACCAAGACCGUGAUGCAUAGCCGACCUGAGAGGGUAAUCGGCCACACUGGGACUGAGACACGGCCCAGACUCCUACGGGAGGCAGCAGUAGGGAAUCUUCCACAAUGGACGAAAGUCUGAUGGAGCAACGCCGCGUGAGUGAAGAAGGUUUUCGGAUCGUAAAACUCUGUUGUUGGAGAAGAAUGUAUCUGAUAGUAACUGAUCAGGUAGUGACGGUAUCCAACCAGAAAGCCACGGCUAACUACGUG
rnacentral:rRNA from 1 species